AUUGAACGCUGGCGGAAUGCUUUACACAUGCAAGUCGAGCGGCAGCACGGGGGCAACCCUGGUGGCGAGCGGCGAACGGGUGAGUAAUACAUCGGAACAUGCCCAGUCGUGGGGGAUAACACUUCGAAAGAAGUGCUAAUACCGCAUACGUCCUGAGGGAGAAAGCGGGGGAUCGCAAGACCUCGCGCGAUUGGAGUGGCCGAUGUCAGAUUAGCUAGUUGGUGGGGUAAAGGCCUACCAAGGCAACGAUCUGUAGCUGGUCUGAGAGGAUGAUCAGCCACACUGGGACUGAGACACGGCCCAGACUCCUACGGGAGGCAGCAGUGGGGAAUUUUGGACAAUGGGGGCAACCCUGAUCCAGCCAUUCCGCGUGAGUGAAGAAGGCCUUCGGGUCGUAAAGCUCUUUCGGCAGGAACGAAACGGCGAGCUCUAACAUAGCUUGCUAAUGACGGUACCUGAAGAAGAAGCACCGGCUAACUACGUG
rnacentral:rRNA from 1 species